GGGGCGGGUGGGGUUCGGGGAACUGGCGUUCUGGCUGGUCGCCGGACGCCGCCCGAGCGCGGGGGAGGUGCGGCUGUUCGAGGCGGUGCUCGUCGCGC
rnacentral:tRNA from 1 species